GGAGAGGCAAACAGUGAUAACUGGGAGGUAAGGAUUGUUCUCUUCUGAACCCUCCUCUUUGUGUUUGAAACUUGGAAAAGAGGAAUGAAUACCAGAUGGGGCUUCCCACUGGCUUUCCCUAGCUCAGAUACGCACGAUUCCACAAUGAAGAUGUCUGGGAGCCACAGUUUUUCAGCUGAUACUUGACCUCAGACAUCCUGUUGGUUAUUUCCAGCAUGAGGACCAUUAGGUGACACACCAAACAUACAGCAUGUGCCCAGUCACAAAGUGAGGCCUGUGACUGUCCCUUGGCCAUGGCCAGGGAGCCAUCUGGGUGGUACCUGAGAUAGAAUCUUUGCCACACUACCAUGUUCGUUUGGACUUUUUCUUGCCUCCUGCUUUAUAUCUCCAUCUCUUUUUGGUAUAUUUAAGGAAGAAGAGUGGGGACUGAGCGGCAGAAAUUGAGCACAAAAUCUGUGCUUUAGAUUGGACCCAUCAUGCCAUGGAGACCAAAGCACUGCUGUGUCUGUAUUUAUGUGGAUAUUCCCUUGGGGUUCUGGACUCCUAGAUUGGCCGAGAGCAAAGGACUUUCAAGAGACAAAUGCUGGAGUUCCACAGAAAUGGAUUCUUGCUAUGUUGCCCAGGAUGGUCUCCAACUUCUGGCUUCAAGUGAUUCUCCUGCCUCAGACUUCUAAGUAGCUAGGAUUAUAGGCAUGAGCCACCAAGCCUGGCUCAUUGCAGCAUUUUUCAUAAUAGCCAAGAGAUGGAAACAACCUAAUUGUCUAUCAAAGGAUGAAUGGAUUAAAAAAUGUAGUAUAUACAUACAUUCAACCUUACA